GAUCUUAAUUCGCUCAUCGAGUUCGAGUUUAUGACUACUCCCUCUCCCACGCCGCGCAAAUCCCCUUCUCCUCCGACUCAUAUCGCUAGUCGACCACCCAGAUCUAGGCGCCAGCGCAAAGCCGAACCAAUCGUAUUGGACGAUCAACCUUUGGUACUUUUCACAUCACAACGGGGGAAGUACCUUCUAGUGUUGGAAAACUAUACUUUCUCCAAGAACAACACCGUUGGAGAAACGACAUACUGGGCGUGUCGAGUGGUUACCGAUCACGUCAAGUGCAAAGCCCGAGCUAGUACUACCCGCAAGGUUAAUGGCAUUUUUCGAGUUAUGCUUGGUAAUGCGACGCAUAACCAUCUGCCAAAAAUGUCACGCAAGGUUCUACUCGAAUGCGGUGUCGAGCCGAAUGUGUUUUAUUUGAAAAGUUGAAUAAAGUGUGUAUUAGCUGUUGAGUUUGUUUAUUUGAUUUUUAAAUUUAGAAUUUCUUACUGAUAAAUGCUACUAAUUAGCGGUUAUUUGUAUUUCGUUCUAGUACUGCAUACUCAUACGACAUCGACUGGUGUCAGGAAUAUUCGGAAGCCGAAUGCAAGGAGAGCCCGUAAAUGGAAAACGGAUAAUAUCGAUGUACCGGAAAUAUUGAAGGGACCGUCGGAGAAAAUGAUUUUGCAAACAUGCAUCGUCGGUGGAAUGAAAGUCUUAUAUCAGAACAACUACUUCGAGUACCAUUAUUCCAAAAGUGGAGUGAAACUCUACCGGUGCGCUGCUUUUGCAGAUUUACAAUGUGAAGCUCGAGUCCUGGUACAGAACGGGCUAGUUUAUUCGAUUAACGGAGACCAUUGUCAUUUAAAUGCUGAACAAUAAACGAAAACUGUCCUUUUAUUAAUCAAACCACCAAUCAGUAUGGACUGUAGUACUAGAUUUGAUAGUUCUCAACGUUCUAUUUGAUUUUUUUGUGAAUAAUUCCAGGCGAUCUAUUACGAUCAAUGAAAGACUACAGUCAAAUUCAAACUAAAUUUGAAAUGCCACAUCCGGAGAUGGCUGGAGUGUCUGUACUGUAUCAGCGUGAGCCAGUCAAAAAAGCUGGCGACAAAAAACUUAAUAUUUACACGACAUCAUCACUCAUACUGAAUAAACUACCACUCGGAUCAGGAUCGCAUGCCAAAUCGCUUCCAAGGACAAUCUCGAAACCUAAGUCCCACAAGUCGUUGAAUGUACAGCAUAUCACUGCUACCGGGACGCCUUACGAUUUGGUAAACGUUCCUACCAAAAAGGGUGGUGUCGGGGUUCGGCACGAUGGACACCACUUUGAGUACCAUUUUACUCGUAGUGGGCACAAGAUAUACCGGUGUGCGUGGCACUCGAAAGAACGGUGUCCAUCGCAACUGUUGGUAUUCAACAGAAAGACCUAUAUCAUUUCUGAUGACCACUCGCAUACGGAACUGGCCCGGAUGAGUGAUGACAUUUUGGCUAAGACAGUAGUCUGUUAGUGUAGUAUUCAAAACUACGUAUUUUAUGUGCCUUUUUCGAAAUAAAUCGUAUUUUUCAAUUACAUUUAAAUUUUCAUCUAAUUUUGUAGUACUAGUUUUGGCAGUUUUUCGCCAUGGCAUUCAUAUAACAUCAAAGUUCUCUUUCGCUAUAGUACCUAUCAGCAAUGCGCAAUUUGUGAUGAGUACCAAGGGAUCACCACAGCUCUGCAUCGACGGAUUUCCAUUCACACGACACAUCGUGAAGGAGGACACGAUCUACUGGAGAUGUAUACAAUUCCGUGCAUUGCGAUGUCCCGCAAGGCACCGUCAGCGACGUUCGACCGGAGCGUUGGAAGUUGUUUGGGCAAAGCACAAUCAUGGCAUUCUGGAGCGAAGGAAACGUGGCACAUUGCGAGACAUUCUACUACAGCGCAAACGGAUGAACCAGA